UUGCAGUAAAAACUGUUGUCUGUUUAUCACCUAAAACACUCUGACUUGUACAAAUAAUUAAUUUCAUUUUCUUCUUCUGCUUCCUUUAAAUCCAAUAUAUAUAAUAUAUUUUAUUUUUCUGUUUCUUCACUUUUGCAUGGUACUAUCACUUACUAUACUUCCUUCCCUUACAAAGCUUCCAUCUUUCAAUUCCACCUCCUCAUUCUCAAUUCUACACUCUCAUUCUCUCAAUUCAACUCUCAUUCUCAAUUCUAUACUCUUAUUCUAUCAAUUCAACUCUUUUUCCUAUCUCUCUCCCUCGCUUUGUCUCUCUCUGCAUUAUUCUUUGUGUAAUCUAACUGGAAUUUUGAUUCUUGAGACUCUUUCUUCAUCUUUCCCAGUUGUCGCUCAAAUCUUCUUUGCCUUCUCUUUUCUGUGGUUAAUUAAGGCUUUGCUUUUGGUGAUCAUGGCCAAUUUGGAGGCUCAACGCUUGCUUGAACAUGUCAUUAUCGAUUACAUGUGUAAAAGAGGUUUCCAUCAGACUGGUGAGGUAUUCUUACGCGAAAUCUUUGCUAAUCAAAAUCCAGACGCUAUCAAGUCUCUUGAUGAAGCAUUUCUGCAAGCAUGGUGGGGUAAAUUUUAUGAAGCAUACAGCUCUAGGUUCCCUGACUUUCCUGUAUUGGCUGCCGAAUGCUUUGAUAAGGUCGCAGAGACUGUGGAAAACGUUGUGGCUAAUAACGGUCCAGCAAAUCAAUUCUAUUCUUCUGAUCAUACGGGAGUAAACAUCUCUAAUGUGAUGCCCGUGAUGCCAUCACCUCAAUUGAUGGUAUCCUCUCCUUUGAUGGAAUCCAGCAGUCCUGAUCCUAUGGACGCUAUGAUUUCAGAUUUGAUGUCAAGAGAAAUACCAUCAGACUUACAGUCAGAGAUGAAUGAAAUGUAUGGCAUGCUUCCAUUUGCAAGCAAUGUUGGCUAUCAAAUGCCAACUGUUCCUCCAGAGUGGAAUGCAAGAGAUGACAGACCUGACAUAAACUUGGGAGGACCUGCGCAAAUGGAAUUAAAUAAUCAUGCCGCUGCAAAUGCUUUGCCUGCUUCACCAGAACUUUCUGAUGCAGGCAUCUAUUUUGAAGAGAUUCGUCACCUUCACACAAAGAGCAAGCUCCUAUAUUGCCACUUUAAUCAGAUCAUGUGUUGGCCUUGGAAGAUGAUAUGGAAAGUCAAAGUUCCCUAUAAAGUAUCUUGUUUUACAUGGCCACUAGCUAGAGGAAAAGCUCUCACACUGGAAAAUUUUUGUAAGAGAGGUCAUCAUCUAUGUUCCAGUUGUUCCAGUUGUUUUCUAUGUGGUGAGGAAACUGAGACAAUUAAUCAUCUGUUCUUGCACCGUAAACUGACUGAACAACUAUGGAGGAUGUUCCUCAAUUAUAGGGGGAUUCUCUGGACCAUGCCAAGUAAGAUAGUUGAUGUGCUAGCAUGCUGGAACAGAGAAGGCAGUAAUGCAAUUCAGGAAAUGAGAUGGAAGAUUAUUCCAGCUUGCAUUUGGUGGACAAUUUGGGAAGAGAGAAACCAAAGAUGUUUUGAAGACAAAGCCAACCAUUUCCAGAAGAUUAAAAUGAAGUGUUUAGGGCUGUUCUACUUUUGGUGUAAAGGAAUAGGUUUAGAAGAUAAUGAAUCAAUCUCUGAUGUAUUAGAAUCCUUGUGAGAUGACACAAGAUCAGAUGCUUACCCUUUUGUAAUCUGUAAUUAGGGGGACUACACAGCUCUGUGCGGUCUCUAUAUAUAUAAAUAUACAAAUAUGUUACCUUCUCAAAAAAAAAAAAAAAAAAAAAAAAAAAGAGGAUAGUUGUUGGCUGCUGCUGGAAACGACAGGAAGGUUUGUCGUAUUUAUCUUCAACAGGAUUCUAGUUGGUCAACUGGGAGAGUGCUUAUCCCAACUUCUCCUCUUAACGAACUUGUACUGCGAUCUAUGUUUAGGUUCAUGUUUGGGAGUGGGGAAAUAACAAUGUUAUUAGUGGAGAAGGUCAUACUUAUCACAUUACAGAUGUCCGUUUCAAACCAAACUUAACGGUGUUUGCAACAUCUUCCUUAGACAGAGCUGUGAGAUAUGGGAUAUAUCCAAGCCAAGCAACUGUAUCCAAGACCUUGUCGAGCAUGCUGGGCAGGUGAUGUCAAUAGAUUUUCAUUCAACAGAGACGGGUCUUCUCAGUUCUUGUGAUAGCAAUGAUGAGAUUAGAUUGUGGGAUAUCAAUAGGGG